rnacentral:rRNA from 1 species
CAGCCGCCGCGGUAAUACGUAGGGGGCGAGCGUUACCCGGAUUCACUGGGCGUAAAGGGGGUGUAGGCGGCUCGGUAAGUCGGGUGUGAAAUCCCACGGCUCAACCGUGGAAUUGCGCCCGAAACUGCCGAGCUUGGGGCCGGUAGAGGGAGACGGAACUGCCGGUGUAGGGGUGAAAUCCGUAGAUAUCGGCAGGAACGCCGGUGGGGAAGCCGGUCUCCUGGGCCGCGCCCGACGCUGAGACCCGAAAGCUAGGGGAGCAAACCGGAUUAGAUACCCGGGUAGUCCUAGCCGUAAACGAUGCCCACUAGGUGUGGGGGAUUAAUUCCUCCGUGCUGUAGCUAACGCGUUAAGUGGGCCGCCUGGGGAGUACGCCCGCAAGGGUGAAACUUAAAGGAAUUGGCGGG